rnacentral:rRNA from 1 species
CCGGCGACCGGCGCACGGGUGAGUAACACGUAUGAAACCUGCCCGUAGCAGGGGGAUAAGCGGAAGAAAUUCCGUCUAAUACCGCGUAACAACCCAUGGAGGCAUCUCUGUGGGUUUAAAGGAAGCGAUUCCGGCUACGGAUGGUCAUGCGUCGCAUUAGCUAGUUGGCGGGGUAACGGCCCACCAAGGCGACGAUGCGUAGGGGUUCUGAGAGGAAGGUCCCCCACACUGGUACUGAGACACGGACCAGACUCCUACGGAAGGCAGCAG